CGGCACCUCAAGUGGUCAGGAUGAUUAUUGGGCCUAAAGCAUCCGUAGCCGGCGCUGUAAGUUUUCGGUUAAAUCUGUACGCUCAACGUACAGGCUGCCGGGAAUACUGCAGCGCUAGGGAGUGGGAGAGGUAGACGGUACUCGGUAGGAAGGGGUAAAAUCCUUUGAUCUAUUGAUGACCACCUGUGGCGAAGGCGGUCUACCAGAACACGUCCGACGGUGAGGGAUGAAAGCUGGGGGAGCAAACCGGAUUAGAUACCCGAGUAGUCC
rnacentral:rRNA from 1 species